rnacentral:piRNA from 1 species
CACUGGUGCAAAACCACUGGUUCCUGUGCUU